UCACUUUGGCAGCACAUAUGCUAAAAUUGGAACAAUGCAGUGAAGAUUAGCAUUGUCCUUGUAAAGGAUGACAGAAAAAUUUGUGAAGAGUUUCAUACUAAA